CUACGUGCCAGCAGCCGCGGUAAUACGUAGGUGGCAAGCGUUGUCCGGAUUUAUUGGGCGUAAAGCGAGCGCAGGCGGUUCCUUAAGUCUGAUGUGAAAGCCCCCGGCUCAACCGGGGAGGGUCAUUGGAAACUGGGGAACUUGAGUGCAGAAGAGGAGAGUGGAAUUCCAUGUGUAGCGGUGAAAUGCGUAGAUAUUAGGAAGAACACCAGUGGCGAAGGCGACUUUCUGGACGAAAACUGACGCUGAGGCGCGAAAGCCAGGGGAGCGAACGGGAUUAGAUACCCCGGUAGUCCUGGCCGUAAACGAUGGGUACUAGGUGUAGGAGGUAUCGACCCCUUCUGUGCCGGAGUUAACGCAAUAAGUACCCCGCCUGGGGAGUACGACCGCAAGGUUGAAACUCAAAGGAAUUGACGGGGGCCCGCACAAGCGGUGGAGUAUGUGGUUUAAUUCGACGCAACGCGAAGAACCUUACCAGGUCUU
rnacentral:rRNA from 1 species